UCACCAUUCUCCUUCUUAUUUGUAUGCAGAUUUGGUUAUAAUGAUUGAUAACUGUAAUCAUCCUCAUUAUUUUAAUAAGAAAUUUUUCUAUCUGUGAUGGAAGUUUUUAUGUACGAUUGCCUGAUCUGAUGACAAGACUUUCGCUGCAUGCAUAUUUAAUGUAUGACGUCACCCACACAGAGUGAGAGCUCGAAGUUUUCUUUGAAAGUUUGAUGGAAAAUGUACAGAGACACGUGUCGCAGUUAAUGCAUGCAGUACCAAAUGCUUGCUUUCUUGGAGUAUGUGCUUGAAACAAGAAUGUCCUGGAGAAAACAGACCACCACAAGAGAAGACAUACAUGUACAGUAUGGACUAUGAAGUUCUACUUAGCCUCUUCAAUGAACUGCUGGAGCUGCGACCGGGUAUCAAAACCUUGGUAUUAUAAACUUCAUAACCAGUGGCGGAGAUAUGUUGUUAGCCAGGGGGGAGGGGUCAGUGCCCCCCCCCCCACUUUUUCAAGUACUCCCAGUAUGCCCCUUUUAUGGCCUUUUCACAUAGGUAAAGUGCCAUAUUACUUUGACAAGUUCCCCUAUUAAUUUGUAAAUUUGCCCCUUC
rnacentral:lncRNA from 1 species